rnacentral:rRNA from 1 species
AGAGUUUGAUCCUGGCUCAGAAUGAACGCUGGCGGCGUGCCUAACACAUGCAAGUCGUGCGAGAAAGCUCCUUCGGGAGUGAGUACAGCGGCGGACGGGUGAGUAACGCGUGGACAACCUGCCCGGAGAUUCGGGAUAACCCUGCGAGAGCGGGGCUAAUACCGGAUAGUCUUCACGGGACCCAGGUCCUUUGAGGUAAAGAUGGCCUCUGAUGCAAGCUGUCGUCUCCGGAUGGGUCCGCGUCCCAUUAGCUCGUUGGUGGGGUAACGGCCCACCAAGGCAACGAUGGGUAGCCGGCCUGAGAGGGUGAACGGCCACACUGGGACUGGAACACGGCCCAGACACCUACGGGUGGCAGC